CCUUCAUACAUAGAUUCUCCACCAAAGCCUUUCCUGGGGGGGCCUGACCUGGGGUUCGGGGCUGGGAAGCGCAAAGGAGAUGACCUGUCAGAACUGUUUCUUGUCCCCUGCCUAGUGUUCUGAGAAAAUGACACUGCCAGGCUCUGAGCAAGACCAGUCGGCUUCAUGGGCACAAUGCCAACAGCUGACAGAAUGGAUGAUGUCCUGAGAAGCUCAAGAGGGUAUGGAGGAUGCUGCCAAUCCCUCCAGAGCACACACCAGGGGCAGGGGGAAGUGACAGCCUAUCUUAGCUCUAGAGGCUACAGCCCUCUUCCCCCUCCCGCCCAUCCUCCAGAACCUGAAGGUACUCACAAGGGUGUGGUCCAGGGUUAAUGGCAUGUCUGUGCUGUAGAUCCUCAGCCCUCUGGACUGACUGAGGACUGAAGGAAUUUCCUUUUUAUUCCUUCCACAGUGUUAACAGUGUUCUGCCCACAGGUGGGGGUAAGGAUAAGAUUUGAUGAGCUAACAUGAACCAGUAAAACCUCUACCUUGAACAGGUUGAUGUUGUCGAUCUGGCUCUGAAAGAGAAAGUCAUUGAUGGUCUUCAGCUCUGUCCCUAAGGGUAAACAAACAAGCCUUGGGGUCCUGCUCUGAAGACCAUGGUGUUGGGGUCCCAGAGGGAAGCUCAGAACUGGCUCAGACCAGCCCUGGGCCCAUGAGGGCCAUCUUCUUACCUGUCUGUGAGAGGCUCUGUGUAUUGGGAUUUUGCUUAAUGUUCCCUAAAAGAGAAUUCAAACAGGUCAAGAUGGUGGUCCUCUGGCCCCAUCCUCUCACACUCCACAGUAUACUAGUCAAAUAAGAACAUUUGUCUGUGAACCGGCUUUUUGAUAGUUUUAGCACAUUGUUUGCGGGUAGUUUUUAUCGUGCGCUAACAGGUGGCGUGGGCCAUUUUUGCUAAUUUUUUGUGCAAAUGGCAACGUUCAGUAAAAUUACGAUAACUUUAGUUUACGUAUUUAUACGUUACCUGCAUUCUACCUCUAGUCUAUAAAAAACGUAUUAAUACGUGUCCCGCGCUCUACUAUACUGGUAGAACGUAUAAAUACGUAAAACGUGUAAACACGUUUCCCGCAUACAAUGUAUUAAUAUCCAUAGACCCCCCACUGAGAACAGAUGUUCUAGGAGGCCUCAAAGUCUGUCCCACACACAUGUGAUAUGGAGCCCAAAGCCUGGUGGUUUCAUUCUUUUCACACCUCCUCUAAGGAGGCAGGGACAGAGUAGCCACCCCAGUUUAGGCAGGUGCCAACAGGACACACCCAGCUGCUUGGUGACAGAGGCAAGGCAGAGAUGGAAGCCAAGAACACCAACAUGAGACAAAAUCCCCUCAGAGCCACCAUGCUGGCGUCCUGGACUUCUGCUUCCAUGAAAGCCUUCAAAAGGGUCCCCGGGAAAGGACAGGGCUGCUGCACAGAAUGCUGGAAAGGUGCACGGGACCUGGAGCCAGUGGGUUCUAGUUCCUCUCACUGGGCUCAGCAACCAGAGGCUCUAGUUUCAUUCACUCGUGUCACUGAGGGUCAACACACCCAUGCUGCCGUCCUCACAAGAGCACUCUAUCAUGUAAAACGGCAUUCACUUGUACUGUAGUGCUAUUACUACCUCAGAACGGUGAAAUAAAUCAGGGUCCUGAAAAAGAUCUAAGUUAGAUGUCCUGACAGCGUGCGAGUCUGGCGAGCGAGCAGGAUGGAGUUAGGGGCUGCGGGGCUCCUUACCACCCAGCACAGUCACAAACUUCUCCAACAGGUACAGGAUCUGUUUGAUGUACAUCAGGUUCUUGGCCUUCAAACGCUUCCUGAGGACAAAUCCACAGACAGCAAGUGCGUUACUCCAACAGCACCUUCCCUUCUAAGUGCCCCAAGCUGAGGCCCUUCUGGCUGGUGUCUUUCAAACUGGGUCACAAGCUACAAAUACUCCCCCAGAAAAAUAGGCCAGCUGUGGCCCAAGGCCUUCAAAGCCAGGUGCUGUGUCCUGAGCACCCCUGGCCUAUGUGGGUGCACACACACAGGAGACAGCAGCACGCGAGGCCACCCCGCAGAGAUGCCAACCUAAGUGCCUCCUCUAGAGGCUGGCUUGGGGUGCUGAGGCUGAGCAGGAUUUUCCCUUCCCCUCUGGAGGUGGUGUCUCACCUGUAUCGUUCCAUGUACUGGAGCAACUGGGAAUGUGCCUGGCAGAGCUAAGGAGAGAAGAAAUGGGCAUGAAGGCAGACUAGGGUCUGGGCAAGUGGCAUAGGGCUGUGCCAAUUGUCUAGAUUGUGGUUAGAAAAUGCCAGCCCAGGACACACAGGAGGCAAUCAAGGUGAGGAGAGUAGGGCUGGUUACAGACUAAAGGUGAGGGUUUUAAAGGCCCUUGGGCUGGUGGGACCUGAGAGAGGGGAAGGAAGGCAGGUUCUGCUGCAGGGGCCACUUUGUGCCAGGGAAAAAGCAAGAGGCUGAAUCUCCGUAAUGAAGCUCCCUGCUACUUUUUACUGGGCUGGGAAAAGACGUGUUGCGCCCUAACCGUGAUAGUUCUAGGUAACCAUCAUGUCCUGGCCUAAGAUCAACCCAUGCAUUAGUCAGUAGAGGUGGUGGAAUGUCGUGUGGGUUUCAGGGUCAGAAACCAGUGGUCAAAUCCCAGUUUCCCACUUACUAGCUAUGUGACCUUAGGUACUGCUUAAACCUCUCUGACUCCGAGUUCUCAAUGUUAAAUAGGAAUACCAGCCCAAUGUAGAAUAGAUGUGAACAUCAGAGAUAACUCCUACAAUGCAUGGCACAUAAUAGGAAAUAAAUAAAUAGUAGCUUUCAGAAAUCUUGAGCAUUCUUCAGUUAAAUCCUCUCAAAGCAAUAUCAAUAAUAAUGACAUCUAACUACAUGAGGACCCUACUUCUCUCAAGCCAUUACCCUGGAUCAUGGAGUGGUUAGUACCAUCCUGGGCUGGAGGGACUCAGGACCACACAGGCCAGUGAAGACCAAGGCACCAGUUCCUCUGCCUGAGCUAGACCCCAGUUCUGAGAUCUGCUGGAAAGCAGUCACCUCUCAUGAGGCUGCCACCUUGCCACAGUGCACCACUACCGAGCGCCAUUUCUGGAGGAAUCCCGGGUCCAGGCAGUUAGAGAAAUGUUCCUUUGCCCCAUGAUAAACCCUGGCUCCGGUAGGGAGAGGCUGACCUACCUGGGAU